UAACACCUGGAAACAGAUGCUAAUACCGGAUAACAAUAGAUGAUGCCUAUCAACUGUUUAAAAGAUGGUUCUGCUAUCACUCUUGGAUGGACCUGCGGUGCAUUAGCUAGUUGGUAGGGUAACGGCCUACCAAGGCGAUGAUGCAUAGCCGAGUUGAGAGACUGAUCGGCCACAUUGGGACUGAGACACGGCCCAAACUCCUACGGGAGGCAGAGUG
rnacentral:rRNA from 1 species